GUAGUCGUGGCCGAGUGGUUAAGGUGAUAGACUUGAAAUCCUUUGGGGUCUCCCUGCGCAGGUUCGAAUCCUGCCGACUACG
rnacentral:tRNA from 1 species